GAUGAACGCUGGCGGCGUGCCUAAUACAUGCAAGUCGAGCGAACUGAUUAGAAGCUUGCUUCUAUGACGUUAGCGGCGGACGGGUGAGUAACACGUGGGCAACCUGCCUGUAAGACUGGGAUAACUUCGGGAAACCGAAGCUAAUACCGGAUAGGAUCUUCUCCUUCAUGGGAGAUGAUUGAAAGAUGGUUUCGGCUAUCACUUACAGAUGGGCCCGCGGUGCAUUAGCUAGUUGGUGAGGUAACGGCUCACCAAGGCAACGAUGCAUAGCCGGCCUGAGAGGGUGAUCGGCCACACUGGGACUGAGACACGGGCCAGACUCCUACGGGAGGCAGCAGGAGGGAAUCUUCCGCAAUGGACGAAAGUCUGACGGAGCAACGCCGCGUGAGUGAUGAAGGCUUUCGGGUCGUAAAACUCUGUUGUUAGGGAAGAACAAGUACGAGAGUAACUGCUCGUACCUUGACGGUACCUAACCAGAAAGCCACGGCUAACUACGUGCCAGCAGCCGCGGUAAUAC
rnacentral:rRNA from 1 species